rnacentral:lncRNA from 1 species
GUCACUUAGUCUCACUCUAGGGAGAGGAAGAGGGCUGCACAAAGCUGAAUGAAGGAGUUUAGUUGUUUCUGAGAGUACUAGUAGAAUAUGUUUGUGUCUACGCAGGCCUCAUGGUAUAGUGAAAAUAACGUGUUUUGGAAUUAGAACUAUAUGGGAUUCAUUUCCCAUCCCCAGGCUUCCUGCCAAGAUGGCAAACUAGCGUGGGCUGCUGACAACCCUGCAGAAACUCCGAGGGUAACUUGAUGUGAGGGAGGAGAGGAAUUAGGGAGACCAAGUGACAUGGACUGUCCCUUGGAUAGGGUCCCUUGGGCCCUGCUUUCACAGGAGAGGUGACACACCCCACUCUCAGGGGAACACAGAGUUAGUGAUGGGAUGGUGAUAUUAAUUGGGGUAAAUAAACAUGAGGGUGGGUUAGAAGUCAGAAGGCCCUGGAUAAGACCAAAAUUAGGUUGCUUAACUCCUAGCAAAAAUUCAAUGGUAAGUGGCAAAGAGGAGGAGAGGGAGGAAAGAGGAGGGAGGGAGGGGAGAAGGAAGGAAGAAGGAGGGAGAAGAAAGAGAAGGAAUUUUAAAAAGGCCUAUACCAUCAAUGAAAAUUCUCAACUCAGAUAUUGAACUAAGUUCUCACAAAACAGAAAUGAGGAGUUCCCACUGUGGUACAUAGGUAAUGAACCUGACUGGCAUCCAUGAGGAUGCAGGUUUGACCCCUGGCUUCACUCAGUGGACUAAGGAUCUGGCGUUGCCUUUAGCUGUGGUAUAGGUUGCAGACAUAGCUUGGAUCCCACAUUGCUGUGAUUGUAGUUGUAGGCUGGCAGCUGUAGCUCCAAUUUGACCCCUAGCCUGGAACUUCCAUAUGCUGCUGGUGCGGCCCUUAAAAGAUAAAAAAACAAAAGACAACAGCAACAACAACAACAACAACAAAACAGAAAUGAAAGGUUUCCCAGCUCCAGCACUGACCAAUUCUGUGACCCUGGGCAGGAUAUAUGGUUUUUUGAGCUUCAGCUUCCUCAUCUGUAAUAUGGGUAAAACUACCGUGGUUAACAGUUUGCUGUGAAGAUUAAGUAGCAUAAUGUGCACAGGGUUCUCUCUUGCCUGGCUCUCAGUGGAUGGUGAACUUUCUCGUUCUCUUCUCUCUUCUCCCUCUUUAGUAUGUUCAGCUCAUAAACACUUACUCAUUUGAGAAUAUUUACUGAGUACCUGUAUCAGUUAGGUUGCUUUCAGCUGCAACUGACAGAAAACCUCACCUAACUGGCAGCAAACAGUAAGGGGAAGGUAUUAACUCAACAUGAGAAGUCCAGAAGCAGGGCAGCUCUAGGGCUGGUUACUGUAGAGUCUACUUUAGGGUCUCCCUCCUUUGGCUCUGCAACUUCACGGCCAUCCCAGUGCCUCUCUCCCCAAGGCUUCAGGACGGCUGCUGUUCCACUCAACUGGAGGCAGGCAUGGGCACCCUUUCCUUCCACACAACUCAUCAGGAUUCCCUGGACUGGUUUCCCAGAGGUUGCCCUGCAGACCUUGCCUCGUGUCUUACGGCCCAGAAGUGGGUCACUUCGCCCCUCUCUAAAUCAGUUCCUGGUGAGAGGAAUGGGUUUCUGCGAUUGGAAUGAACCCAUCAUGAUUCCUGGUAAGAUGUCCCUUGCUCUAACGGAAUUACUGAUUCUAGAACAAAAUCAAUUAGUAAAGACAAAAGGGAAGAGGUGGCUAUUGGUAGGCAACCAAGAGUAUUUUCUGGACACUGUAGUUGGUGUUGGGCAUACAGAGGGAUGUCAUUCCUGGGGAGCUUGUAGGGGAGGUUACAGAUAAGUAUAUAGCAUGUAGGUGCUAUGCAGAGAAAACUGUAUGGCUGUGACUCAUAAUUGGUAUUCAGGGAAGUCUUCCUGGAGGAGGUGCUCUCUGAGAGUUAAAGUAGGAGUUCUCCAAAUAAAUAGGGGUAGGAGUAGAAUGAAAGCUUGUAUGAAAGCCCUGGGAGCAAGAGAGAUUGUGACAUUACUUAGGUCACUUAAAGAAGUUCACUAUGGGGAGUUCCUGUCGUGGCGCAGUGGUUAACGAAUCUGACUAGGAACCAUGAGGUUGCGGGUUCAAUCCCUGGCCUUGCUCAGUGGGUUAAGGAUCCUGCGUUGCCGUGAGCUGUGGUGUAGCUCUCAGACACGGCUCAGAUCUCGCGUUGCUGUGGCUCUGGUGUAGGCUGGUGGCUACAGCUCCAAUUAUACCCCUAGUCUGGGAACCUCCAUAUGCCGCGGGAGCAGCCCAAGAAAUGGCAAAAAGACAAAAAAGAAAAAAGAAAAAAAA